rnacentral:tRNA from 1 species
GUCCCUGUAGCGCAAUGGACAGCGCGUUGGACUUCUAUUCCAAGGGUCGUGGGUUUGAAUCCUACCUGGAAUG